AUGACAACGUUGAACAGACUAGUAGUGUUAGUUAAUGAAUCAGAGAGCUUGGGGUGCUGGAAGCCAAGCCAUUAGCUAGUGCGAAUCACAUCUGGGAGUUGAAUUCCUGAACGAUAAGUAGGGAAGUUCCGGUAAGCUCGUUAUCGCUGAAGUUUAUUAAUUAAACUUACUGAGACUGAUUAUGUGAAUAAUCAGUGAAUCAGAGGUGGUACCACGAAUUCAAUCGUCCUCUUG
rnacentral:ncRNA from 1 species